UACGAAGGGGGCUAGCGUUGCUCGGAAUCACUGGGCGUAAAGGGUGCGUAGGCGGGUUUUUAAGUCAGGGGUGAAAUCCUGGAGCUCAACUCCAGAACUGCCUUUGAUACUGAAGAUCUUGAGUUCGGGGAGAGGUGAGUGGAACUGCGAGUGUAGAGGUGAAAUUCGUAGAUAUUCGCAAGAACACCAGUGGCGAAGGCGGCUCACUGGCCCGAUACUGACGCUGAAGCACGAAAGCGUGGGGAGCAAACAGG
rnacentral:rRNA from 1 species